GGCGUCCUCUGCGGGAAGCAAGGCCGCAGGAGGGCGGGUGGCGGUCGGGGAGCUGAUCCUGACUCUAUUGCUACGAAGUUCAAGCAGGGGUCGGCCAACUUUUAUUUCCUAAAAGGGCCGGACCGUGAUGGCUUGUUUUCAUGUCUCCUGCGACUCCUUAACCGUGCAGCGCAUCACGAGCGGACGGCAUGGCCGCGUCCGAGGUCCGCGACCAGAACAGCGAGCCGCCCGCCACCGGCCCCCAGGGCCCCGCGUCCCCGUCCUACUUCCUCCAGCUCAACCGCGUUCCUCUACGGUGGGAGGAACAAAACCGCAGCUUCCAUUCCCUGCGGUCAUUGCGGGCACCAGGUGUUAGAUUUCACACGAUGACAUUUAUACAAAUAACAAAGAUCUUGGAUUUUCAUACUUUAUCUUUUUGGAACAAGUCAGGCUUGAUUCAUGAUCUAUUACUCAAAAAAGACUGGAAAGCAGACGAGGGGCAAGGGAAGUCCUGGGCCUUGCGCGGAGAAUACAGCAUUAACCACACCCGCAUGGUCUUGUCCUACGGGACGACCCUGGAACUAUCGUGCUAAAGACAAAAAUCAGUACUAAUUCUAGGGGAAAAAAAAACACACACACUGAAGGGGAAUUAAAAAAAAAAAUCAUGCAUGCAGCCGAGCUGUUAACCCACGAGCUGUCUGCACAGAAAAUAUUCCCUUCCAUCAAGUUUGAGAAAACCUCCCCGCGAAGAGAGAAGCCUGGCCUGCGAGCCCCCAACUGGCAUUUGUCAAAAGUCGUCAAACAAUCACUAACCCUUGGGCUUCGUCUUGAAUUUCCGGCGACUGACAGCCCGGGGGGGGGCCUCACCUGCAUGUUAUGUGCGAUUUCUUCUCUGUCCGAGAGGAUCUGAGAAAGGUUCUUGGUGCCCAGGACGUUCCUCAGAGUCGUCUGUGCCAAGAGACGGGUCGCGGAGUCGGCGUUGGUGAUGUUGGCCACGGCCAGGGUCGCGUUCUGGACACGGUAGUAGACCACGCCGUCCACGCUAAUGGUCACCGAAUCCUUGGUGAGGAUCUGCGGCGGAAAGAACGCGAUGCUACGUCUGCCAACCAGCCCCUUCUUUAAUUUUUUUAAAAUAUUUUAUUUAUUUAUUCAUGAGAUAGGAGGAGGAGCGGGGAGCCCGAGGCAGGACUCCGUCCCAGGACGCCCAACCGACUGAGCCUCCCCAGUGCCCCAAAUCCUUCUUUGAUUGAACUGUAAGGAAUGUUCUUCUGCAGAACAUCUUAAAACAGCGGCUGAUUUUCUUUGAUGAGGAAACUGAGGCAGAGAGAGGUUAAGGAACUUGCUCCAAGUCCCGCAGCUGGAAAACGGUGACCGCACACAGCUCUGAGCCUGUGCGUAGCACCGCGCCCCGCUCCUCUCUCCGCCAGCUCCUCUCACGCACGACGCUGACUUGUCUGCUUCUGCCAAGACAGCCUUACCUCCUGAGGAGGGAUGUCAAAUGAAAUCGUUCUCAUGUCCACCUUGAUGAAGCUGUCGGUGCACGGGAGAAUAAAAAACAAGCCUGCGACGAAGAAACACGGGCAUUAUGGAGAGAGCAGCACCCAGGCACCCGUCCACUCCCCCAGAAUCAACGUGACCAGCUGAAAGGAGCCCGUUGGCCUCGCUGCCCUCGCCCUUACUCUCCCCCAACCUGCGGCCGCCGGGGGGGUGGGGCGGACACUUCCUUGCUCCGCUGCCGCUGGUCGUCUGGUCACCUAGGCCAGUGCGAUCCUUCCCAAGUCGUCCUACGUCCUCUGGCAUCCCUCCCAGGGCGCCUGUUCCCGGCCACAAGCACAGCAGCCUUUUCUGAACUAUGAGCCCGACCGUGGCUCGAGGUCCCGCGUGGCCUGCCCCGGCGCCCCUCCUCGAGCUCCACGCUCUUGCUGGGCUGGGCUGGCUGCAGGUCCCGGGCCGCCUUACUCCCCUCUACCUGCCCUGCACGAGGCACCCCUUCUGCGGGGAACACUGCUCCAUGCCUCAAGAUUCAGCCAAGGGGACCCCUCCAAAGCCUGGUCUCAUCCUACUAGUCGGGGUCUGGCCCUUGUCCCUGGCGUCCACAGCUACUUGCAAUUACUCGAUCAUAGUACCUGUCCCGUGGGAUGCAACCGCACCCUGUUGGUACCCACUAGACGGCAAGAUCCCUGAGGGCAGGAGCGCUACUCUAGGCUCCCUUGGAUUUCCAGAGCCUGGAAUACAGCAGGCGCUGAAGGGACAUUUGCCAAAUAUAAGGCAGAAAGAAUCAAAUCUAGAAAGCCUUCCGCGAGUAGCAUUCUCAUGCUCAGACUUCCAGGGCUGCAGCUAUUCUUGGCCUAAAAUAAUCUUAUCAGCUGGCUGGGAAGGGGAGGGGAGCCACGGGAAGGAAAGGGUGACUGCGGCACGGCUGGCCCGCACCACCGCUAUUGUUAGUCUUUUCUAAGUCAACAGAUAAGGGACCCUCAUAAGGGAAUUCGCAUCAACUAGACGAAGAAUCCGGUCCCCAGGCCAAGCACCCAGAAUCCUAGUACUGACCAGGUCCUUUGGCUCCUCCUUGUAAAAUGCGACCCAGUCUAAAGAUGAUGGCUCUUUCAUAUUCCUUUAUGAUCUAGAUUAAAACACAAAUAAUAACA